rnacentral:rRNA from 1 species
UAUUGCUCUUGAACGAGGAAUCCCUAGUAAGUACAAGUCAUUAGCUUGUGCUGAUUACGUCCCUGCCCUUUGUACACACCGCCCGUCGCUACUACCGAUUGAAUGGCUUAGUGAGGCCUUCGGAUCGAGAUUCGGAGACUGGCAACAGACUCUGGGUUUUGAAAAGUUGGUCAAACUUGGUCAUUUAGAGGAAGUAAAAGUCGUAACAAGGUUUCCGUAGGUGAACCUGCGGAAGGAUCAUUACCAAUCUUAGCGGGCCUGGUCUUUAUUAACCAUGGUUUCGCGAAAAUCGUAUUUAAAACCCACUCUUAUAAAUGAAUCAUUUUUUUUUGUAUAAUAAAUAAAGAUCACUUUCAACAACGGAUCCCUUGGUUCUCGCAUCGAUGAAGAACGUAGCGAAGUGCGAUAAGUAAUGUGAAUUGCAGAAUUCCGUGGAUCAUCGAAUCUUUGAACGCAAAUUGCACUUUUUGGUAUCCCGAAAAGUAUGCCUGUUUGAGGGUCAGUAUAAUAAAAAAAUCGGUAUGUUGCUUUUUUUGUAACGUUCCGGAGUUUGGGUUAUCUUGAACAAAAUUUUAGUUUAAGAGACUUAAAAUUAACCAUCUUUUUGCGCAUUUUUAGAUGUACAAUAAAUUAUUUAUUUCGUCUAUAUUAUCAUGCCAAAAUUUUAUUAGAUGCGACCAUAUUGAGUGGUUUCGUGCCUAUAAAAAUUUUCAWAAUUUGACCUCAAAUCAGGUAAGAAUACCCGCUGAACUUAAGCAUAUCAAUAAGCGGAGGAAAAGAAAAUAACAAUGAUUCCCUUAGUAACUGCGAGUGAAGAGGGACAAGCUCAAAUUUUAAAUCCGUUAGGUUCACCUAACCGAGUUGUAAUUUGAAGAGGCGNUUUCUGCGUUUUUGAUCAGUUCAAGUCCUUUGGGAUAAGGCAUCAUGGAGGGUGAGAAUCCCGUUCGGUUGAUCAAAUUUGCUUUAUGAUACGUCAUCUAAGAGUCAAGUUGUUUGGGAUUGCAGCUUAAAACGGGAGGUAAAUUUCUCCUAAGGCUAAAUAACGGCGAGAGACCGAUAGCGAACAAGUACCGUGAGGGAAAGAUGAAAAGAACUUUGAAAAGAGAGUCAAAUAGUACGUGAAAUUGUUGAAAGGGAAACGAUUGAAGUCAGUCGUACCGGCGGAUAAUCAGCCUUUCGAGUAUGAUUCUGUGGAGUGUGAGGAGUUUAACCGCCUUCAUACCUGCAUAUUUGUGCGCUUUGGGUGUACUUGUCCGUAUGGUAGGUUAACAUCAAUUUUGGUCGUUAUAAAAUGGCUAGGGGAAUGUAGCUUUGAUCUCGUAUUGAAGUGUUAUAGCCUCUGGUAAAUGUAGUGACUAGGAUUGAGGAUUGCAACGGAUACCUUUCGGGGCUACUCGUCUGAUCUCUGGAAGUUACUUUGGUGCUAAAAGCUUGCUUAUGGUUAUCGAAGUUGACAGUCAAUAGGUUAGAACGGGUUAAAUUCGUUAAGGAUGUUGACGUAAUGGCUUUAAACGACCCGUCUUGAAACACGAACCAAGGAGUCUAACAUAUGUGCGAGUGUU